rnacentral:lncRNA from 1 species
UUCCCGUUUCGUGCCGAAUACAAAUAAAUUUCAUAUUUCAAGACACUAUACGUAUAUUGUUUUUAUACUGAAAUCGAUAAAAAAUAAAAAAAAUAAAAAUAUGAAACAAAUAUUAUUAAAAAAAAAGUGUUUGGAAUUUCCCCCUUGGGGUACCAUUUUGGAGUAUUUCCCUAUGAGCGUAGUCUAGGCGGUAAGCAUUGACAAUUUACGGAAUUAGAAAGGGAAAAUGAAUUUAAUUAAUAGCAUUUGAUAAACAUGGUAUAUAAAUUACCAAUUUGAAGACAUAACAGG